rnacentral:miRNA from 1 species
CCUCUCUCCAUCUCUCUCUCUC